GUCACUUGUGCGCAUUGUCUCUUUAUGUCCAUUUUAUGUUUUAAUUGGGUUAAUUAUAAAAAGUGAAUUACGAAUUGUGACUUCUAUCAGAAGAGCUUUUUUUGUUGUAAUACCAUCAGUUACAAAACGAUGCUAGAGGUUCUCUCUCUUUGAGUUAUAAGGCCUUGAAGCUUGAAUAAGUUCCAACUUAAUUUGGAAAACUAUUCAUGACAUUAUUCAUGUUUU
rnacentral:misc_RNA from 1 species